GACGAACGCUGGCGGCGUGCUUAACACAUGCAAGUCGAACGGAAAGGCCCUGCUUUUGUGGGGUGCUCGAGUGGCGAACGGGUGAGUAACACGUGAGUAACCUGCCCUUGACUCAGGGAUAACUUCAGGAAACUGGGGCUAAUACCGGAUAGGAGCUCCUGCUGCAUGGUGGGGGUUGGAAAGUUUCGGCGGUUGGGGAUGGACUCGCGGCUUAUCAGCUUGUUGGUGGGGUAGUGGCUUACCAAGGCUUUGACGGGUAGCCGGCCUGAGAGGGUGACCGGCCACAUUGGGACUGAGAUACGGCCCAGACUCCUACGGGAGGCAGCAGUGGGGAAUAUUGCACAAUGGGCGGAAGCCUGAUGCAGCAACGCCGCGUGCGGGAUGACGGCCUUCGGGUUGUAAACCGCUUUCGCCUGUGACGAAGCGUGAGUGACGGUAAUGGGUAAAGAAGCACCGGCUAACUACGUG
rnacentral:rRNA from 1 species